rnacentral:tmRNA from 1 species
GGGGCUGACUGGAUUUGACAGCAGACUGAUAGUCAGUGUAAGCACGCAGAGAGUUGCUGGCCGCUCUCUAUAAUCAAUGACUUGCAAAGAUUUAUCUGGCGAACGUGAAUACGCUCUCGCUGCCUAACCGAAGUAUAGUAGGUUGGCUCAAUCUCGGCACCAGGUGCUGAGACGAGAUGUCACCCCGGGACUAACCGCUCCGAAGCACCCGGAUACCGUGGCACAGCAAAAUCGGAGCUGGCCCGUCAAGGCCUCGCUUGUCGGGUGAGAUUUCAGAGGAUAAGGUGUUGCUUGGUGGUCCAGGUCUUGGCAAUGCACGAAAAACGAAGGCUGGAAUAAGCGUGUAGAAAGCUCUGGUUGUCUCUGUUUGGACGAGGGUUCGAUCCCCUCCAGCUCCACU